UACAGAGAGUGCAAACGUUGUUCGGAAUUACUGGGCUUAAAGCGCACGUAGGCGGCAUCGUAAGUGUCUGGUGAAAUCCCACGGCUCACCCGUGGAACUGCCAGGCAUACUGCGGUGCUCGAGUGUGGUAGGGGAGAGCGGAACUCCUGGUGGAGCGGUGAAAUGCGUAGAUAUCAGGAGGAACACCGGUGGCGAAGGCGGCUCUCUGGUCCACAACUGACGCUGAGGUGCGAAAGCUAGGGGAGCAAACAGG
rnacentral:rRNA from 1 species